rnacentral:miRNA from 1 species
CCAGUGGAGAUGCUGUUACUU